rnacentral:rRNA from 1 species
AUUGAACGCUGGCGGCAGGCCUAACACAUGCAAGUCGAGCGGAUGAAGGGAGCUUGCUCCUGGCUUCAGCGGCGGACGGGUGAGUAAUGCCUAGGAAUAUGCCCGGUAGUGGGGGAUAACGUCAGGAAACGGGCGCUAAUACCGCAUACGUCAUGAGGGAGAAAGUGGGGGAUCUUCGGACCUCACGCUAUCAGAUGAGACUAGGUCGGAUUAGCUAGUUGGUGGGGUAAAGGCCUACCAAGGCGACGAUCCGUAACUGGUCUGAGAGGAUGAUCAGUCACACUGGAACUGAGACACGGUCCAGACUCCUACGGGAGGCAGCAGUGGGGAAUAUUGGACAAUGGGCGAAAGCCUGAUCCAGCCAUGCCGCGUGUGUGAAGAAGGUCUUCGGAUUGUAAAGCACUUUAAGUUGGGAGGAAGGGCAGUAAGUUAAUACCUUGCUGUUUUGACGUUACCAACAGAAUAAGCACCGGCUAACUUCGUG